rnacentral:rRNA from 1 species
UGGAUUAGUGGCGAACGGGUGAGUAACACGUGAGUAACCUGCCCCUGACUCUGGGAUAAGCGUUGGAAACGACGUCUAAUACUGGAUAUGAUCACUGGCCGCAUGGUCUGGUGGUGGAAAGAUUUUUUGGUUGGGGAUGGACUCGCGGCCUAUCAGCUUGUUGGUGAGGUAAUGGCUCACCAAGGCGACGACGGGUAGCCGGCCUGAGAGGGUGACCGGCCACACUGGGACUGAGACACGGCCCAGACUCCUACGGGAGGCAGCAGUGGGGAAUAUUGCACAAUGGGCGAAAGCCUGAUGCAGCAACGCCGCGUGAGGGAUGACGGCCUUCGGGUUGUAAACCUCUUUUAGUAGGGAAGAAGCGAAAGUGACGGUACCUGCAGAAAAAGCACCGGCUAACUACGUGCCAGCAGCCGCGGUAAUACGUAGGGUGCAAGCGUUGUCCGGAAUUAUUGGGCGUAAAGAGCUCGUAGGCGGUUUGUCGCGUCUGCUGUGAAAUCCCGAGGCUCAACCUCGGGCUUGCAGUGGGUACGGGCAGACUAGAGUGCGGUAGGGGAGAUUGGAAUUCCUGGUGUAGCGGUGGAAUGCGCAGAUAUCAGGAGGAACACCGAUGGCGAAGGCAGAUCUCUGGGCCGUAACUGACGCUGAGGAGCGAAAGCGUGGGGAGCGAACAGGAUUAGAUACCCUGGUAGUCCACGCCGUAAACGUUGGGCGCUAGAUGUAGGGACCUUUCCACGGU